GUGAAUCAUCAAAUUUUUGAACGCAUAUUGCACUCUCUGGUAUUCCGGAAAGUAUGUCUGUUUGAGGGUUAGUUAAAUAAAAAUUGGUGUUGUUGCUUCUUUUAGUGGUGAUGCAUUGGUAUUGAGAUGUCUUUACUUUUGGUUAAAGUGACUUAAACUUAUGUUCGAUUUUUGAACGUAUCUAAAUUGUUUUUGUAUGUUCAUCAUACUAUAUAUUAGGUGCGAUCAUUCUUAUGACUUUGUGUUU
rnacentral:misc_RNA from 1 species